rnacentral:lncRNA from 1 species
CAGGAAAUCAGCUUAGUACCUAUUCUCCUCAUCCAGGGCUCUUGAGCCUGAUUUCAGAAAUGAAGAAUUAUGAAAUCAGAGUCUCUAAGGAGCUACCUUUAAUUUGGAGGCUUUUGGCCUUCAAGUGGAGUUUCGAAAUCUCACUAGUUGGCCGUGUCCCAGAUUCCUGCUUGGAUCAAUCUGCCUGGAGGUAGGCAAAUGUGGCUUUCGUUGGAGCCCAGGGAUUAGUGACCGGGGAAGGCUGCAUUUGUGUUUCCUCUGCCCAUGAGAAGGCUCCACAGAGAGGCAGCCUUUGAGCUGGGUUUUAAGGCAUGAGUGGGAGAGGCACUGGUGGAUGAGCAUUCUAGGCAAAGGCAACAACCCCCACGCUCUAUAGUGCUGUACAUAUCAGACUAUGUCGCAAAUUCGUAACAAAUAGUCCCCCAAAACAUACACUGGUUUAAGCCCCAUAGACAUUUAUCGUAUUCUCAUACAUAGGAUGGGUGGGGCAGCUAUCCUCCACCCAUCACUUAAAUUUUUGAGCUGACUGAGGCUCUGCCAUUUUUAACAUUUGCAUCAAAAGUUGCCUGCCCAGAGGGUCAUCUCCACUCCAGGCAACCAGACAGGGCAAAGAGCCCGGAGAUGGCCCUUGUCACUUCCUCCCACCCAGGUCUAACCGCAAGAGGAGCUGGAAACUGGAGUCUAAAUGUGUGCCCAGGAAUCAUAGGACAACACAGACUCUAGGAAAUUGUCUGCGACCUCCGCCACAGUCUGCUCCAUUCCUCAGGCCCUGCUCCUUUUGGAUAGAUCAGAAAGAAAAGCAGCCAGCGGCAGAGGCAAGGCAAGGGAAAGAGGAAGGAAGCUUCUGGCACUUGGAAGCAGCACUCUGGAGGCAGUCAAACACUCAGGUUGACUCAGCCAAUUUCAUUUUCGGAUAUGGUGAAUUUUUUUAAUGUGGAACAACCCUCCAAAGGAAAUAUUACAGAUAACAUGCCAAGAUAAUUGUUUGAAAUGAAGUUUAGAAGAAAAUUCAACUAACCCUGUGUUUUGGUUGAAAGAUAGAAAUGUGAGCAGGGGUUUGGAAAGCCGUCCAAACCAAGCUUCCUCGGUGCUGGGCUGGUCUUUCUGAGCUUGGAAAAAAAAAAAAAACAGAAUGAAGAACUUCCAAGUGACCCCAGGACUCUCUCCAUUCUCUUGAUGUUGACUUUGGGGAGAGCAAGCUCAACUCUCUGCCAUGUGAGCAUCUGUGGAUGUGGACUGGGUUUUGCGUGAGGUCUUCCCCACGAACUCGGAACUGGAGGGUGCAAUAACCCUCCAUUUGAAGCAAUCAGUCCCAAACAUGCAGGACCUUGUGCCAGGCUUUCUUCCUCCAUCCUGGCCUCUCCCGUGGGUGGCUUCUCCUGGAACGCUGGCUCAUAUCUCUGGAGCCUGUGGUUUGGGGAUUGCCAUUAGCCAACUACAGCAGGGCCUAGAGAGUUUACUGUGGGCCUAAAAUGGGAACUGGACCCACCCUCUGAGUAAUGUUCAUCCUCAGUAGGGCUCAGUGGUGGCCUGCUACUGUACAAGUGACCCUCUUCCCACCACCCUCGCCCUGGUUGCCCCUGUAGAAUAACCACUCCCCUCCCCAACCUCUUUCCUUGCUGCUUCCUCAGAAUUGGGAUGGAAGGAAAAUAUGGCACCUGUAUGCACUCUGCACAUUCCUGUGUCCUGGACAAGUUGGGCCAUCAAGGAGCUGCUGUGGCAUGUCCAAUCCCCAUGGCACUGGGGGCAGUAAAUACCGGGAACUUAGCACAGCGACGUCAACCCUUGACUACUGCCUUGCCUGGACAGGAGAUCUUGUGCCAGUAACAGGUCAUUCAGCAGCAUGACGCUCUCCAGUCCCUAGAAGGUAUUAUUGCUAUGGGACAAUACAGAAUCCAUGUGCGGGAAAGGACCUUAAUAAAAUCCUAACCAAUAUAAGCA